rnacentral:rRNA from 1 species
UGAAUCAACCGAAUGCGUAAAAAUGCAAGUCGCACGGAGAGAGGGGCGACUCACUCUCAGUGGCAAACGGGAGAAUAACACGUGAGUAACCUGCCUUUGAGAAGGGGAUAACUGUCCGAAAGGAUAACUAAUACCCUAUAUUGCCUUUUGACACUAAGGCAAAAGGUGAGNGCGAGGCUGUCAAAGGCUUCGGCUCAAAGAGGGGUUCGCGUCCUAUCAGGUAGUUGGUGGGGUAAUGGCCUACCAAGCCAAUGACUGGUAGCUGGUCUUAGAGGAUAAUCAGCCACAGUGGGACUGAGACACGGCCCGCACCCCUACUGGGGGCAUCAGUGGGGAAUCGUGGGCAAUGGGCGCAAGCCUGACCCCUCAAUGCCGCGAGAGGGAAGAAGCCCUUCAGGGUGUAAACCUAUGUCAUAUGGGAAGAUGGGACUAGGGGCUAAUACCUCCUAGUCUUGACAGUACCAUCAGACGAAGGGGAGGGCUAACUACGUGACCAGCAGCCGAGGUAAA